rnacentral:pre_miRNA from 1 species
UGGACAGAUUAUUGUAUUCGACUGUAUUCACGGCGUGAAACAAGGGAUUAUACUGUUUUUAAACAACGUGAAUCAAUUAAUAUAAUAGACUCCU